rnacentral:lncRNA from 1 species
GUCAAGAUAACUGCAGAUGUUCUAACAUUUCCAGGAGCUUUACUGUUGACACUAUGCGCUUACAAGGUGCAUAGUAGUAACGAUGAAGAGAUCGAGUCCGAAAAUGGCGGCCUAUAUGCUCCUUUGAAUGGUGAUUCCAACGGCAUUAACGACGAGAAACAUGAGAAAGCAAUUCCAUUUUCAAAAGUAGGGGUCUUGGGAACUCUGUCAUUUUGGUGGCUGAAUCCUCUGAUGAAAUUAGGCAGGGAAAAGACUCUUGAAGAAGAGGAUAUUCCGAACCUACGCCAGGCGGAUCGAGCCGAAACUUGCUACACGGUUUUCCAGGAGCAGUUAAGCAAGGAAGAGAAACAAUCUCAGCCUUCGCUUUUGUGGACGAUUGCGAGGUGCCAUUCCAGAGACAUUUUCGUCUCCGGGUUCUUUGCUUUCUUGAAGAUAGUUACAGCAUCAGCAGGUCCACUGCUUCUUAACGCCUUUAUACUGGUUGCUGAAGGAAACGCUAGUUUCCAAUAUGAAGGCUAUCUACUGGCGUUGACCCUUUUCUUCAGCAAGUCCCUGGAGUCCUUAUCUCAAAGGCAAUGGUACUUCAGGUCUAGACUCAUUGGUUUAAAGAUAAGGUCUUUACUCACAGCUGCAAUCUACAAGAAGCAACUGAAGCUGUCGAAUGCCAGUAGAUUAACGCACUCGGGAGGCGAGAUAAUGAACUAUGUCACAGUAGAUGCUUACAGAAUUGGCGAAUUCCCCUUUUGGUUUCACCAGACAUGGACGACAAGCUUGCAGCUUUGCCUUUCCCUCAUCAUUCUGUUCCGAGCUGUUGGGUUGGCAACUUUUGCAGCCUUGGCGAUCAUAGUGCUGACUGUUUUGUGCAAUGCUCCAUUGGCUAAGCUGCAGCAUAGGUUCCAAACCAGGCUCAUGACGGCUCAGGAUGAAAGGCUCAAGGCCUGUGGGGAGUCUCUGGUGAACA